UCUUAAGGGGAAUUUAAACCAUAAUUGUAUUAUAGUUAUUUUUGAACAUGUAUAAAGAAAAGGUUUCCAACACUGAAGCUUUAGUUAAGAUAAAAGGUCAUUAAAAUGGGAAGGACCUUACCAGAAAUUAGUUUUCUGGAAUGUGCAAGAUUUUGGAAGAUGCAGUAUUUAAUUUUUUUCUAAUUAAUCAUCUUUAUCACAUGAGAGUAUUUUCACUAUGUGGCUGAAUAAUGUUAACCAGAUAAUUUUCCUGCAGCUCAUCUAACUUACAUGACUUUUAAUUUAGACACGCACACCGCAGAGCGUGGCGAUGGAACAGUAACCGGGCUUGUGAGAGGGCUCUACAGUAUCAACUAGGAGACAAGAUCCACGGAUUCACUGUCAACCAGCAUAGGAACUAAAAAUGACAACACUUCACAUAUUUGGCCAGCUGUUGGCUCUGUGCUAUGGUAGAUGUUACAGCAAAUCUAAAAGACACAACUUACCGUCUAGAAAGACUGAUGUGGCUGUGACUGGAGGCACAUGGUGGACACCAUGCAGAGGGCCAAGGACAAGGGAUAAGGGACUUGGAUAGGAUGGUUCUGUUCUCUCCAGCUCUGAAAUACUGGCUUCCUGGCAUCAUCUAAUUUCAGGCAGAAAAGCCAGUUUUCUCAGUGUGUCGAAGAUCACCAUUUCAAAGGCCAUUUUGUCUAAGUUUAACUGGCUGUGUUUUUCUGGUUAACUCAAGUGACAUCUGUUCCCGAGCUGUUCCUGAUGGCAGUGAAGCUCAGCCACGAUGACACAGGAGCCAGGUAUUUACACCUUGCCAGAGAAGACACGAAUAAUCUGUUGAGGUACAUGGUGCAUUGUAAGAACAUGGUCUUGAAUGUUUUAUUUAAAUCAGGGAUGUCCAGUCUUUUGCAGAGAUGCAAAGAAAUGCAGUAGCUGACAGACAAAGGAUGGCUCUGGGAGAUGCAGAAGGAGCAUGUCACCCAAAAGAGAGCCAAACGGGUAUCCUUAAGGAA